CACAGCACUUUGCCAACUCGUAAGAGGAAGUAUAAGGUGUGACGCCUGCCCGGUGCUCGAAGGUUAAGAGGAUGCGUCAGUCGCAAGAUGAAGCGUUGAAUUGAAGCCCGAGUAAACGGCGGCCGUAACUAUAACGGUCCUAAGGUAGCGAAAUUCCUUGUCGGUUAAAUACCGACCUGCAUGAAUGGCGUAACGAGAUGGGAGCUGUCUCAACCAGAGAUUCAGUGAAAUUGUAGUGGAGGUGAAAAUUCCUCCUACCCGCGGCAAGACGGAAAGACCCCGUGGACCUUUACUACAACUUAGCACUGCUAAUGGGAAUAUCAUGCGCAGGAUAGGUGGGAGGCUUUGAAGUAAGGGCUUUGGCUC
rnacentral:rRNA from 1 species